UACGUAGGGUGCGAGCGUUGUCCGGAAUUAUUGGGCGUAAAGGGCUCGUAGGCGGUUUGUCGCGUCAGGAGUGAAAACUCGGGGCUUAACUCCGGGCCUGCAGUGGGUACGGGCUGACUAGAGUGCGGCAGGGGAGACUGGAAUUCCUGGUGUAGCGGUGAAAUGCGCAGAUAUCAGGAGGAACACCGGUGGCGAAGGCGGGACUCUGGGCCGUAACUGACGCUGAGGAGCGAAAGCGUGGGGAGCGAACAGG
rnacentral:rRNA from 1 species